rnacentral:rRNA from 1 species
UCGAUCGAGGGAGACUUAGCUUGCUAAGUCGAACUAGAGGCGAACGGGUGAGUAAUACAUAAGCAACCUGCCCACGAAGACUGGGAUAAUCCCUGGAAACGGGGACUAAUACCGGAUAGGUAACCGGACCGCAUGAUCUGGUUAUUAAAGGUUAAAAACACUGGUGGAUGGGCUUAUGGCGCAUUAGUUAGUUGGUGAGGUAACGGCUCACCAAGACGAUGAUGCGUAGCCGGCCUGAGAGGGUGAACGGCCACAUUGGGACUGAGACACGGCCCAGACUCC